GAAAAAUCUGAACAGACAGUCCACAAAAACAGCAUAAUAUUAACAGGAUGUCAGGGUUUACAGAUUUUCCCAUUUCCUCUGUAAAAAUCUUACCAUUACCAAAACAUGGAACUGCCACUUUUGCCUUUAAAUAACUGUUUAAAAAACUACUUUUCCAAGGAAUUAUUCGUUCAUCAGACACUGAACACCUACUAUGCACAGUUGCUCAACUAUGUAUAGGUGGACCUUGUUCCUUCUGAUCCUUCCUAUAACACAACUGCAUGAUCAUGUGUUAUGCAGAAGAUAAAACAAGAACAAUAAAAUCUACUAUUUAAUAUGUGUCAGCUAUACUUUCUAAGCAUGUCACAUAUAUUAAAGACAGGUAGUCCAUAACAAUCCUUUUCAAGUGUUGCUUAUAAGCUGCUCAACUAUCUGUCUAGAAUAUCAACUCUUCCUUAUUGCUCUUCCUGAUCUGCUUCCCUGCCACAAUUGCAUCUCUGGCUAUUAGCCUCUCCUAAUCUGGCCCAUUCUGCCCUAUGAUGGAACCAUAAUUCUGGAAGGACCCAAACAUCUUUCAACUAGGAGUUCAGGAGUACAUAAAAAAAGAUUUCUGUCAGUGAUUCCAGGAGCUAAAUAAAACAAACUUUGGAUUAAACUGAGAAAGAAAUAAGAACAAAUUAGCAAGUGAUUCAAGUUUCCAGGAUUGAGCCAACCAACUUGAGAGGGAAACUGAAGAUUUUAACAUUAUGUUAACCUCUGACAGGCUGAAAUAGCAAUAAAACCAUAUUUGUAAUUACAUAUUUAGCUACAGUUUUGGCCCUGCUAGCUACCUAACCUGAGAACAUCAGAGUUAGAAAUUACCUUAACAAAUGGAGAAGCUGAGGCCUAAAGUGGUAGAAAAACUUAUGCCAGUUCUUACAAAUCCCUACUACAAAGAAUAAGCCAAAUAAUAUUGACCAAACUAUACUGUUUUAUUGAGUGCAUGUACAAAUACAGUAUACAUAACAACAAAUCCCACCAUUACGUACUACUAUAAUACACCAAUAACAAAUAUGGAGAAAAAAAGAAGUAGGCCAGGUGCAGUGGUACAUACUCGUAAUCUAAGCAUCUUUGGGAGCUGAGACAGGAGUAUUGCAAGUUUGAGGCCAGUCUGAGUCAAGUAAACAGACCCUGUCUCAAAAUAAAAUGUUAAAAGGGGGUCUGCUGGGAUGUAGCUCAGAGGUACAGCGUACCUGGGUUUGAUCCCUAAUAUCACAGGAGAAGGAGGGGGGACAGGGAAGAUGUGUCACAUAAUCAACAAACCCAGACAGAGGACCAGGUGAACCUUGUUCAGCUGGUCAUCCACUAUCUGAUCCUUCCUAUAAUACAACCACCCUGUCAUGUGAUUACACAAUGUGGACAUGAAUUCUCCAAUUUCUGAAGCACUCCUUUUCUUCUCAGAGACUGCAUUCAUGUGUUGGAAAGUUCAAAUUAUAAGAAAUUGUUUACAUUGUUAUUACAAAUUUAUAACUGAUGAAAACUUUUAAUAUUUAUGGGUAUUGUGAAAUGUUUUAAUACAUACAUGUGUUAUAUAAUAUUUAAAUACAUUGAAAUGUUUCGAUACAUAUAUAUGUUAUAUAAUAUUUAAAUAAGUUUAAUAUAUUUAUCUCCUCCAACAUUUGUCAUUUCUUUAUGGUGAAAAAAUUCAAAAUCCUCUCUUAUACCUUUUUGAAACUCAUAGUACAUUAUUGUUCUCUUCAGUUGCCCUACUCUGCAUUAGCACACCAGAACUACUUACUCCUGUAUAACUCUAACUUGGUACCCAUUGAUCAACUUUUCCCCAACCUCCUUAACCACAAUUUUCCCCAGAGUCCAGUAACCACCACUCCUCUAUCAACUUGUACAUGCGAGGCAAGCACUCUACCAACUGAGCUGUAUCCCCAAGCCCCAAAACAACCAUUCCAAUGUCCAAAAACAUUUCUCCUGUUUUCUUUAGAAGUUUCAUAAUUUCCAGUCUUACAUUUAAGUCUUUAAUUCAUUUUAAGUUGACUUUUGUACCUUUUGACAGAUGGGGGUCUAGUUUCAUCCUUCUUUCUGCAUGUGGAUAUCCAAUAUUCACAGCACCAUUUGUUGAAAAGUCCAUCCUACCUCCAGCAGGUAGAAUGUUUUUUGCAACUUUUUCUAAAAUGAUUUGACUAUUGAUGUGUAGGUUUAUGUCUAGGCUUUCUGUCCUAAGUGCUCUAAGUGUCUGUUUUUAUGCCAAUAACAUGCUGCUGACAUUACUAAGCUUUUUAGUACAUUUUGAAGUUGGGUAAUACGCUGCCUCCUGCACUGUUCUUUUUGCUCAAGAUGGCUUUGAAGUUUCAGGUUUUGCUGUGGUUCCAUACAAAUUUUAGGAAUUUUUUCCAAGUUUUGUAAAGAAUGUCACUGAUGUUUUAUUAUAGGGAUUGCACUCAAUCUAUGGAUUUUGGGGGGUAG
rnacentral:lncRNA from 1 species